rnacentral:rRNA from 1 species
CCUACGGGGGGCUGCAGUGGGGAAUAUUGCACAAUGGGCGCAAGCCUGAUGCAGCGACGCCGCGUGAGGGAUGACGGCCUUCGGGUUGUAAACCUCUUUCGCCAGGGACGAAGCGCAAGUGACGGUACCUGGAGAAGAAGCACCGGCCAACUACGUGCCAGCAGCCGCGGUAAUACGUAGGGUGCGAGCGUUGUCCGGAAUUACUGGGCGUAAAGAGCUCGUAGGUGGUUUGUCGCGUUGUUCGUGAAAACUCACAGCUUAACUGUGGGCGUGCG